AAAAGCCAUACAUGUCCCAAAUGUGGGAAAGCCUUUAUUUAUCUGUCAUUUCUUGUGAGACAUAUGAAAAUUCACACUAGAAAGAAAUCUUAUGAAUAUGACAAAAGUGGCAAAGGCUUUAGAUAUUCCCUACACCUUAAUAAACAUUUAAGAAAGAACAUUCUGGACAAGCCCUAUGAAUGCAAGGAAUGUGGGAAAACCUUCAGCAAGCCUCAAAACAUGCACAUAUAAGGAGUCAUGCUGGAAAGAAACCCUAUAAAUGUGACAAAUGUGGAAAAGACUUUGCAAAGUC
rnacentral:lncRNA from 1 species